GAUGAAGAACGCAGCGAAAUGCGAUAAGUAGUGUGAAUUGCAGAAUUCAGUGAAUCAUCGAAUCUUUGAACGCACAUUGCGCCCCUUGGUAUCCCGAGGGGCAUGCCUGUUCGAGCGUCAUUUCCCCACUCAAGCCUGGCUUGGUGUUGGGCGACGUCCUCUUUGGGGACGCGCCUCGAAACGCUCGGCGGCGUGGCACCGGCUUUAAGCGUAGCAGAAUCUUUCGCUUUGGAAGUCGGGGCCCCGUCUGCCGGAAGACCUGCUCGCAAGGUUGACCUCGGAUCAGGCAGGGAUACCCGCUGAACUUAAGCAUAUCAAUAAGCGGAGGA
rnacentral:misc_RNA from 1 species